rnacentral:rRNA from 1 species
AAAACAGUACGUGNAACCGCGCAAAGGUAAACGGGNAAGAGUUGAACUGCAAGCCUGUAAGAUUCAGCUGGUUCGGUUGCUUCAGCAUUGUGGUCCAUAGAAAAAAUGGGUUGCCUCUCCUUGUGGGUGGUAAUGAGUGUGUGCUUAAUAUGUGCAACUCGCUGCUUUGUUGGUGUAGUUGGGCCGGUGCAUUUCUUUCAGGUCUUCAUCACGACCGGCGCAGCUGUCUGUCUGCUGUAGUCAAACCAGUCGAGCUCGGUCCUCGGGCCUUGUUUUGCUGGGAUGGCAGGUAGCUUGUUGGUCUUUCGGGGCUUUCAAGUGUAAUAGCCGACUUCAGUGUGAGCUGUGCAGUGUGCCGGANAUUGCGGUUGUGACGGGUANCGUGAAUGCUANACNUUGNNGGCUUUGAAUAAUUCCCUUCNGUGGCUUCNC